GGCUCAACUGGGAGGGUGCGCCGAAUACUGAGUGACUCGAGUGCGGGAGAGGAGAGUGGAAUUCCUGGUGUAGCGGUGAAAUGCGUAGAUAUCAGGAGGAACACCGGCGGUGUAGACGGCUCUCUGGACCGUAACUGACGCUGAGACACGAAAGCGUGGGUAGCAAACAGGAUUAGAUACCCUGGUAGUCCACGCCCUAAACGAUGCAUAUUUGGUGUGGGUCAUUCAGUUGAUCCGUGCCGGAGCUAACGCGUUAAAUAUGCCGCCUGGGGAGUACAGUCGCAAGGCUGAAACUCAAAGGAAUUGACGGGGGCCCGCACAAGCGGUGGAGCAUGUGGUUCAAUUCGACGCAACGCGAAGAACCUUACCUGGGCUCGAACGGCUGGUUACCGGCGGUGGAAACAUCGCUACCCCGCAAGGGGGUCCAGUCGAGGUGCUGCAUGGCUGUCGUCAGCUCGUGUCGUGAGAUGUUGGGUUAAGUCCCGCAACGAGCGCAACCCUUGUCCUGUGUUGCCAUCAUUCAGUUGGGAACUCGCAGGAGACCGCCAGCGAUAAGCUGGAGGAAGGUGGGGAUGACGUCAAGUCCUCAUGGCCUUUAUGUCCAGGGCUACACACGUGCUACAAUGGGCGGUACAAAGCGCAGCAAACCCGCGAGGGGGAGCCAAUCGCAAAAAACCGUUCUCAGUUCGGAUUGCAGGCUGCAACUCGCCUGCAUGAAGCUGGAAUCGCUAGUAAUGGCAGAUCAGCACGCUGCCGUGAAUACGUUCCCGGGCCUUGUACACACCGCCCGUCACAUCACGAAAGUGGAUUGUACUAGAAGUCUGUACGCUGACCCGCAAGGGAGGCAGCGGCCCAAGGUAUGAUUCAUGAUUGGGGUGAAGUCGUAACAAGGUAACCGUA
rnacentral:rRNA from 1 species